UAGGGAAGUCUUCGGCAAUGGGGCGAACCCUGACCGAGCAACGCCGCGUGAGUGAAGAAGGUUUUCGGAUCGUAAAGCUCUGUUGUAAGAGAAGAACGUGUGUGAGAGUGGAAAGUUCACACAGUGACGGUAACUUACCAGAAAGGGACGGCUAACUACGUGCCAC
rnacentral:rRNA from 1 species